UUACGGUCAUAUAACAUUGAAUCAUUGGUUCCUGUACGAUCACCGAAGUUAAGCAACAUUGAGCCUGGUCAUUACCUAUGUGGGUGACCGCUUGGGAAUACCAGAUACUGAAA